AGUGGCGAACGGGUGAGUAAUACAUCGGAACGUGUCCUGUAGUGGGGGAUAGCCCGGCGAAAGCCGGAUUAAUACCGCAUACGACCUGAGAGGGGGGAAAGCGGGGGAUCUUCGGACCUCGCGCUGUAGGGGCGGCCGAUGGCAGAUUAGCUAGUUGGUGGGGUAAAGGCCUACCAAGGCGACGAUCUGUAGCUGGUCUGAGAGGACGACCAGCCGCACUGGGACUGAGACACGGCCCAGACUCCUACCGGAGGCAGCAGUGGGGAAUUUUGGACAAUGGGCGCAAGCCUGAUCCAGCAAUGCCGCGUGUGUGAAGAAGGCCUUCGGGUUGUAAAGCACUUUUGUCCGGAAAGAAAACUUCGGGGCUAAUACCCCUGGAGGAUGACGGUACCGGAAGAAUAAGCACCGGCUAACUACGUGCCAGCAGCCGCGGUAAUACGUAGGGUGCGAGCGUUAAUCGGAAUUACUGGGCGUAAAGCGUGCGCAGGCGGUCUGUUAAGACCGAUGUGAAAUCCCCGGGCUCAACCUGGGAACUGCAUUGGUGACUGACAGGCUUGGAGUGUGGCAGAGGGAGGUAGAAUUCCACGUGUAGCAGUGAAAUGCGUAGAGAUGUGGAGGAAUACCGAUGGCGAAGGCAGCCUCCUGGGUCAACACUGACGCUCAUGCACGAAAGCGUGGGGAGCAAACAGGAUUAGAUACCCUGGUAGUCCACGCCCUAAACGAUGUCAACUAGUUGUUGGGGAUUCAUUUCCUUAGUAACGUAGCUAACGCGUGAAGUUGACCGCCUGGGGAGUACGGUCGCAAGAUUAAAACUCAAAGGAAUUGACGGGGACCCGCACAAGCGGUGGAUGAUGUGGAUUAAUUCGAUGCAACGCGAAAAACCUUACCUACCCUUGACAUGGUCGGAAGUCUGCUGAGAGGCGGAUGUGCUCGAAAGAGAACCGACGCACAGGUGCUGCAUGGCUGUCGUCAGCUCGUGUCGUGAGAUGUUGGGUUAAGUCCCGCAACGAGCGCAACCCUUGUCCUUAGUUGCUACGCAAGAGCACUCUAAGGAGACUGCCGGUGACAAACCGGAGGAAGGUGGGGAUGACGUCAAGUCCGCAUGGCCCUUAUGGGUAGGGCUUCACA
rnacentral:rRNA from 1 species